rnacentral:lncRNA from 1 species
GGAUUUGGGAACUGAAUAGUGCCCAUCAAAGUCUCACCUGAUGUUGGAAAUUGAUCUGAGAGCGCGGAAGGACAGAAUUCUUUCUUUGUUCCUGGGCAGCGGUGGUUGAGGGAUCAUUUUGUGGCAGCUACAGUGGGAUCAUUUGUGGCAAUGAUGGAGGCAGAAUGGAGGGCUCAGUACCAAGACAAGGAGAGACUUGGCCUCACAAUGGCAGCAUUGCAGGGGUGCGCUCCACAGAGCAUUUGCUCACAUGGUUUUGGGCAUUGUCUCUAACUACAUUGCUUCCCCGAUAGUUUGACCCAUUCUAACUAAUUCCUUUUCUCUUUAAAAAAGCAAACUUCAUUUGUAUGACUUGCAAUUGUAAACGACACCAAUUGGCCAGUUAUCAUUCAAAUUCUCUGUUACUUAAUCCUGCCUUUUCCUGACAUAUGCAACUUUCGCCUAAAAAAUUGGACACUUUGUUGCUUACUCAUUGUCUUUACACAUUUUAAAAUGUUGCUUUUUGCCCCCAAUCCCUAACUACAUUUUCAAUGUUUUGCAAGUGGAGUCCAUGUGUUCUUGAUUUACAUGAAGCUCAAAAUAAUGGUUAUAGUAACUAGUACUUCAUAAUUAAGCAAAAAGCUCUUAUUGAAAAAUGACAGAACUAUACAUAGGGAUGAGAACAUGGAGAGAUAUUUCGUGAGAUCACAAAGUUAUGGUAUGGCAGAAGUAGAACGCUGAGUAGAGACUCUGUGUUCCCAAUCAUUAUUUCUACCACCAGCUUUCUAUUUUGAUGUUAAUAAUGUUCUUAUGUGGGAAACCCUACAUAUUUGCCAAUGUUUAGUUCAUUGACAAAGAAAUAGAAAGAGCUUCAAGAACACUCUAAUCUUUAAAAAAUAAAAUACCUAUAAUUGGCCAUACGAAACAAUUGGUACUUGACAUAUACUGAGAUCGUUUUAUUUUGUGCUAGACAAAUGAAGUCAUAGAACAGAAUGUGCUUUAAAUAUUAUGAAUAGUGCUUGCAUGUGUGUGUGUCUAUAGAUGCAUAUUAGGCCGCUGAAAAGUUUUAUUAUUCUUUCCAGGAGAGAGACUGCCAACUUUUGAACCUAACUAGAACAAGUAUAUUGCUUCUUCAUAUUUUUAUUAAGGCAAAGAGAGUCUAGUUAAAAAUAAUUCAAAUUGUG